CUCACGCUAAUACCGCAUACGUCCUACGGGAGAAAGCAGGGGAUCUUCGGACCUUGCGCUAUCGGAUGAGCCUAUGUCGGAUUAGCUAGUUGGUGAGGUAACGGCUCACCAAGGCGACGAUCCGUAGCUGGUCUGAGAGGAUGAUCAGCCACACUGGGACUGAGACACGGCCCAGACUCCUACGGGAGGCAGCAGUGGGGAAUAUUGGACAAUGGGGGAAACCCUGAUCCAGCCAUGCCGCGUGUGUGAAGAAGGCCUUCGGGUUGUAAAGCACUUCAGCGAGGAAGAAGGCCUGAGGGCUAAUACCCUUCAGGAAGGACAUCACUCGCAGAAGAAGCACCGGCUAACUCCGUGCCAGCAGCCGCGGUAAUACGGAGGGUGCGAGCGUUAAUCGGAAUUACUGGGCGUAAAGCGCGCGUAGGUGGCUUGAUAAGCCGGUUGUGAAAGCCCCGGGCUCAACCUGGGAACGGCAUCCGGAACUGUCAGGCUAGAGUGCAGGAGAGGAAGGUAGAAUUCCCGGUGUAGCGGUGAAAUGCGUAGAGAUCGGGAGGAAUACCAGUGGCGAAGGCGGCCUUCUGGACUGACACUGACACUGAGGUGCGAAAGCGUGGGUAGCAAACAGGAUUAGAUACCCUGGUAGUCCACGCCGUAAACGAUGUCGACUAGCCGUUGGGUUCCUUGAGAACUUUGUGGCGCAGUUAACGCGAUAAGUCGACCGCCUGGGGAGUACGGCCGCAAGGUUAAAACUCAAAUGAAUUGACGGGGGCCCGCACAAGCGGUGGAGCAUGUGGUUUAAUUCGAUGCAACGCGAAGAACCUUACCUACCCUUGACAUCGUGCGAACUUGGUAGAGAUACCUUGGUGCCUUCGGGAACGCACAGACAGGUGCUGCAUGGCUGUCGUCAGCUCGUGUUGUGAAAU
rnacentral:rRNA from 1 species